UGAAACUUAAAGAAUUUGGCGGUAUUUUAAUCUAUUCAGAGGAACCUGUCCUUUAAUCGAUAUUCCUCGUUAAAUUUUACUAAAUUGUUUAUAUAUCGUUGUCGUAAGAAUCAAUUUUCUAACUUUAAUAUUAUAAUUAAUGUCAAAUCAAGGUUUAGCUUAUAAUUUAGUAGAGAUGGGUUACAAUAAAUUUAUUUAGAAUAAGUUUGAAGGAGGAUUUGAUAGUAAAUUA
rnacentral:rRNA from 1 species